rnacentral:tRNA from 1 species
UUUAUAAUUGGAAUGGAAAUCGAACCCACAGUGUUCCGCUUACCGGGCAGAUACCAUGUCCACUAGGCUACCCUGGA